UACGUAGGGCGCAAGCGUUGUCCGGAAUUAUUGGGCGUAAAGAGCUCGUAGGCGGUCUGUUACGUCCGCUGUGAAAACCCAGGGCUUAACCCUGGGCUUGCAGUGGAUACGGGCAGACUAGAGUUCGGCAGGGGAGACUGGAAUUCCUGGUGUAGCGGUGAAAUGUGCAGAUAUCAGGAGGAACACCGGUGGCGAAGGCGGGUCUCUGGGCCGAAACUGACGCUGAGGCGCGAAAGCUAGGGGAGCAAACAGG
rnacentral:rRNA from 1 species